AUGGCACUUUUAAAUGUCCGCUCUCUGUUGAACAAGUCUUUUAUUAUUAAUGAUUUAAUUUUAGAUAAUAAACUUGACUGUUUAUUUUUAACUGAAACAUGGCUGGGUUCGGAUGCACCAGUUGUUCUCACUGAGGCCUCCCCACCAAAUUUUAAUUUCUCCUUUUCUAUUAGAAGUGGUAAAAGAGGUGGUGGGACUGCAUCUUUAACCAAUAACAGACUCACCACCAAACAAAUUUUAUUUGAUCAUUUUACCACUUUUGAAUUCCAUGCUAUUGUUUUUAGCAGCGCUCCAGUUUUAUCUGUCACAAUUUAUAGACCACCUAUAGACAGUGCUGCUUUUAUCAAGGAAUUCUCAGAAUUUUUAACAAACAUACAUUCAAAAUAUAAAAUGAUAAUUUUAACCGGUGAUUUUAACCUGCACAUAGAUAAUCCUUCUGACUCUACAUCAAAAGAAUUCUUAAACAUUCUUCACUGUAUGGAUUUUACCCAGCACGUCACGCAGCCGACUCACAACAGAGGACACACUCUGGACCUGGUCAUCACCCAUGGGCUGUCCACCAGUGUGUCCUCUGUUGUUGACUUGGCUGUCUCUGACCACUACUGUGUGUUUUUUAACAUCACCGGUUUUAUACAGCGGGAGACCUCGGUGCGAACUGUGAGGAGGCGCUAUCUAACCUCUGAAGUGGCUGCAAAUUAUACCAGGGUUUUAGACGAAUGCCCCCCUGUGAUUUUACCUGCACCCUGUGAUUUUAUUUUUAAUCAUUUUAACAGCAAACUGAAGAAAAGCCUUGACUCCGUUGCUCCACUCACCACCAAAAAGAUUAACAGAAAACAUGUAUCACCCUGGAGAAACGAAGAAGUCAAAACACUCAAAAGGAAUUGCAGGGCAGCAGAAAGGAGAUGGAGGAAAAAUAAAAAUGCAAUCAACCAUCAAAUACUUUGCGAGCAACUUAAAAUUUACAAUAAUACACUAAGGAAUUCAAGAAAUUCAUACUUCGCCAAAAUAAUCAGUAAUAACAAAAAUAAUCCCAAGGUCCUCUUUUCCACCAUAGAUCAUUUAUUUAACCCUGAUUUUAACAGCUCCCAAAGAACUCCCACAGACUCACUCUGUGAGCAGUUUGCAGACCACUUCAGGGGAAAAAUCAGCACCAUCAGAUGUGAUAUUUUAUCUUCUCGUGAUAUGAUUUUAAACACAUCUGAGGGCUCGAUUGUACCUGAGGAGACACUGGACAGCUUUGUUCUGGUUAAUGCUGAGAACCUUAAGAAAGUUUUCUCCACAGUGAGAUCCACCACGUCUUUUAGAUCGAAUCCCCUCUUUACUUUUUAA
rnacentral:lncRNA from 1 species